UACAGAGGUCUCGAGCGUUAGGCGGAAUCACUGGGCUUAAAGCGUGUGUAGGUGGAUCGGUAAGUACCCUGUGAAAUCCCACGGCUUAACCGUGGAACUGCUUGGUAUACUGCCAGUCUUGAGCCAGCUAGGGGCUACCGGAACAAAUGGUGGAGCGGUGAAAUGCGUAGAUAUCAUUUGGAACGCCAAUGGUGAAAACAGGUAGCUGGGGCUGUGCUGACACUGAGACACGAAAGCCAGGGGAGCAAACGGG
rnacentral:rRNA from 1 species